UAGAUGUUGUAGAUAAGAAUGUGAAUCCUAAUUAACAGCAAAUGGUCUAACGUGUAGACAUGCACUUAAUCAGAGGUAUAUUUAUCUCUAAGGCUUCAAAAACACUUGCAAUAUGCAGGCAGUUGAGGUACUGCAUAUUGCCUGAGCAGCAUGCAGCCACAUAGGUGGUACCACCUAUGCUGUUUGUAUAUACAAAGAAAUUAAAAAAAUGUUAAAUUCAUAAUCACAGAUUAAAAAAGACAGAAAAAUAGAAAUAACUAAGAAAAUGUAGAAAAAUAACAAAAAGUUGGAGAGAGGACAGAAGGAGAGGAAGCACUCGAUCACUCAUCCAAGGUUUGAGCUUAUGCAGGUGACUUGGGCAGCUGCAGUCUGUUCU
rnacentral:lncRNA from 1 species